rnacentral:rRNA from 1 species
AGUAGUUUGAUCAGUGGCUCGAGGACGAACGCUGGCGGCGUGCCUAACACAUGCAAGUCGAGCGGAGACACGGGAACGGAAGGCUUCGGCCGGAAGAUCCCAUGUUUUAGCGGCGGACGGGUGAGUAACGCGUGAGCAAUCUGUCCUUCACAGGGGGAUAAGAUACCGAAAGGUGUUCUAAUACCGCAUAAGACCACAUUCCCGCAUGGGAGAGGGGUCAAAGGAGCAAUCCGGUGAAGGGUGAGCUCGCGUCCGAUUAGAUAGUUGGUGAGGUAACGGCCCACCAAGUCAACGAUCGGUAGCCGACCUGAGAGGGUGAUCGGCCACAUUGGGACUGAGACACGGCCCAGACUCC